rnacentral:rRNA from 1 species
UACAGAGGUCCCAAGCGUUGUUCGGAUUCACUGGGCGUAAAGGGUGCGUAGGCGGUUGGGUAAGUCUGAUGUGAAAUCUCACAGCUUAACUGUGAAACUGCAUUGGAUACUAUCCAACUCGAGGAAUGGAGGGGAGACUGGAAUACUUGGUGUAGCAGUGAAAUGCGUAGAUAUCAAGUGGAACACCAGUGGCGAAGGCGAGUCUCUGGACAGUUCCUGACACUGAGGCACGAAGGCCAGGGGAGCAAACGGG